rnacentral:lncRNA from 1 species
AAGCAUAACAGAGUGUCGUCAAUAGUGUCAGGGACUGGUGCUUGUCCAUGGGAUUGGUCUCAAGUUGGGCCAGUUAUUGGUCGGCCAUUCCCUUUGUCUCUGCUCCAUCUUUGUCCCUGCAUUUCUUGACAGGACAAACUUCGGGUCAAAGUUUUGUGGAUGGGUUGGUGCCCAUCUACUGGGUCCUGCCAGGCUGUGUUUCAGUUUUGCUGUUCCUUAAAUAUCCUUGACAUCAUCAAUCCUUUGCUUGAUCUGUAUGUGGAAAAGAAGUAUUUCCUGACUCAUCACUCAGCUGCUGAUGUCAACAAGGGCAUAAGCUCAUGGUGGCAACCAUCUCACCCGGGCCAUACAUGAAGGACAGAAACAGUGUGCUCACAGAAGAAACACUACAUGUACACACAGUGCUUUAGUCAAACACUUGGGAAGUGGAUGGCUUACACACACAACCCCAUGUGCAACUUGUCAUGCACUGGCAGUCACACUCAAAAAGGGAUCCUCUGCAGGUGAACCACUUCAGAGAAGAUAUAGCUGCUGGUAAAUGGCUUUGGUUUCCAGACACAAUUUUCCAACUUCACAUUCACAGAUAAACAAAACAGAAGUGAUGGUUUGUAUAUGCUUGGCCCAGGGAGUGACACUAUUAGGAGGUGUUGGAGUAUGUGUGUCACUGUGGGUGUGGGCUUAAGACCUUCACCCUAGCUGCCUGGAAGUCAGUAUUCUGCUAGAAGCUUUCAGAUGAAGAUGUAGAACUUUCAGCUCCUCCUGCACGAUGCCAGCCAGAAUCCCAACAUGUUCCACCUUGAUGAUAAUGGACUGAACCUCUGAACCUGUAAGCCAGCCCCAAUUAAAUGUUGUCCUUAUAAGA